AGCCAUGCAAUGAGUACAAUGCAAACUAUUCUUUCGCCUUUUACUAAAGAAUACCGUGUGCGCAUUGUAAAUAGUGGCAUACGCUAAUUUUUUGAGGGGAUAUCUUAGUUGAGAUCC